rnacentral:misc_RNA from 1 species
AUCAUUUGUAAAACUUAUCUCAGCAAAGUGCAAGCUGACAUUGUAACUCCCGUUGCUCAAGCAAUAACGGAAGUAAGUGAGUGAGAGUGGAGACAUCCGUGCAUUAUUGUACAAUUCAGAGAGGCUUUUUGAUGGUGUACUUUCAAUAAAACGUGCAUUUUGGUCGUUAUUAUCAUCCAUAAAGUCCCCAGUGCUACUCAAUCCCCAAUAAUUGGUGCUACUGCUGAAAUAUCUAGCAGAACCACCAUCAACGCUUGCAUCUCCUGCAUAAUGAACUUCUCCAUCGCUUUCCUUCACAGUAAAAUCAUUUCCACCACUAUUAACAUGUA